AUGCUUGAGAUUUUCAAUGAAUAUCACUUGAACAAGUACAUUACUAGUCCUUGCAUUCCCCGUAGUGAUCCUUUGCAUCCCUCUCCCGAUGAGGAUCUUGACAUGAUUCGCAAUCUUAGAACUAUCAAUCUUAUCAUUAGAGGAUUGCCAAAAAAAUUGAUUGCUAGCUUACCUGCUCUUGAUUGUGCUUACACCAUAUGGAGAUUUCUUGAGGAACGAUUCCCAAAUUAUUCCUUGAAAAAUCUAGAUGAGAUUCUCCAUAAGUCUCUUGCCUUGAAUAGAAUGAGUACUAUUGAUCCUAAGUUUGAUGAGUGCCUGUUUGAGCUUCGUGAUCUCAUGCGUGCCAAAGGAGAUGUUGGAAUUAUUAGCAAUAUCAUUUCCGAAGUCAUUAGAAUCCAUAGAGAUGAACAUUGUUACGGUCAUACUUCUAGUGAAUCACCUUCUCUAGGAAAUGAUCAUAUGUUGAACAUGGAUACUAUGAUGAGGAUGAUGAUAAUGACUUUGAUCUCGAUGAGUCUAUGA
rnacentral:rRNA from 1 species